rnacentral:rRNA from 1 species
GUGAGACAGUUCGGUCCCUAUCUGCCGUGGGCGCUGGAGAACUGAGGGGGGCUGCUCCUAGUACGAGAGGACCGGAGUGGACGCAUCACUGGUGUUCGGGUUGUCAUGCCAAUGGCACUGCCCGGUAGCUAAAUGCGGAAGAGAUAAGUGCUGAAAGCAUCUAAGCACGAAACUUGCCCCGAGAUGAGUUCUCCCUGAGACUUAAAGUCUCCUGAAGGAACGUUGAAGACGACGACGUUGAUAGGCCGGGUGUGUAAGCGCAGCGAUGCGUUGAGCUAACCGGUACUAAUGAACCGUGAGGCUUAACCUUACAACGCCGAAG